rnacentral:rRNA from 1 species
CCUACGGGUGGCUGCAGUGGGGAAUAUUGCGCAAUGGGGGAAACCCUGACGCAGCAACGCCGCGUGAGUGACGAAGGCCUUCGGGUCGUAAAGCUCUGUCGGCGGGGAAGAAACUAUCUAUGGCUAACAUCCAUAGGUAUUGACGGUACCCUCAAAGGAAGCACCGGCUAACUCCGUGCCAGCAGCCGCGGUAAUACGGAGGGUGCAAGGGGUGUUCGGACUUACUGGGCGUAAAGCGCGUAUAGGCGGCGGCCGAACCGAGGAAGUGCGCCUGAAACUGAUUGGCUUGAGUACGAGAGAGGAGGACGGAAUUCCCAGUGUAGAGGUGAAAUUCGUAGAUAGUGGGAGGAACACCGGUGGCGAAAGCGGUUCUCUGGAUCGAUACUGACGCUAAGACGCGAAAGCGUGGGGAGCAAACAGGAUUAGAUACCCGGGUAGUC